rnacentral:rRNA from 1 species
UACCAGCACCCCGAGUGGUCGGGACGUUUAUUGGCCCUAAAGCAUCCGUAGCCGGUUCUACAAGUCUUCCGUUAAAUCCACCUGCUUAACAGAUGGGCUGCGGAAGAUACUAUAGAGCUAGGAGGCGGGAGAGGCAAGCGGUACUCGAUGGGUAGGGGUAAAAUCCGUUGAUCCAUUGAAGACCACCAGUGGCGAAGGCGGCUUGCCAGAACGCGCUCGACGGUGAGGGAUGAAAGCUGGGGGAGCAAACCGG